GGCCUACCAUGGUGGUAACGGGUAACGGGGUGUUAGGGCACGACACCGGAGAGGGAGCCUGAGAAACGGCUACCACAUCCAAGGAAGGCAGCAGGCGCGCAAAUUACCCAAUCCCGACACGGGGAGGUAGUGACAAAGAAUAACAAUACAGGGUUCUUUUGGAUCUUGUAAUUGGAAUGAGUACAAUUUAAAUCUCUUAACGAGGAACAAUUGGAGGGCAAGUCUGGUGCAGCAGCCGCGGUAAUUCCAGCUCCAAUAGCGUAUAUUAAAGUUGUUGCAGUUAAAAAGCUCGUAGUUGAAUUUCGGGAUCAAUGUUUCGGUCAUGCCCUUGGUAUGUACUGAUAUUAUUGGUUUCUCACCUUCUAAAGAACCGUAAUGCCAUUAAUUUGGUGUCACGGGGAAUUAGGACUGUUACCUUGAAAAAAUUAGAGUGUUUAAAGCAGGCUUACGCUUGAAUACAUUAGCAUGGAAUAAUGAAAUAGGACAUCCGAUUCUAUUUUGUUGGUUUCUAGGAUCGAUGUAAUGAUUAAUAGGGAUAGUUGGGGGCAUUAGUAUUCAAUUGUCAGAGGUGAGAUCCUUGGAUUUAUUGAAGACUAACUACUGCGAAAGCAUUUGCCAAGGAUGUUUUCAUUAAUCAAGAACGAAAGUUAGGGGAUCGAAGACGAUCAGAUACCGUCGUAGUCUUAACCAUAAACUAUGCCGACUAGGGAUCGGAUGAUGUUAAUUUUUUAAUGACUCAUUCGGCGCCUUACGGGAAACCAAAGUGUUUGGGUUC
rnacentral:rRNA from 1 species